rnacentral:rRNA from 1 species
UACGAAGGGGGCUAGCGUUUCUCGGAAUGACUGGGCGUAAAGGGCGCGUAGGCGGACUGCACAGUCAGGCGUGAACUUCCUGGGCUUAACCUGGGGACUGCGUCUGAGACGUGUGAUCUAGAGUGAGGAAGAGGGUCGUGGAAUUUCCAGUGUAGAGGUGAAAUUCGUAGAUAUUGGAAAGAACACCGGUGGCGAAGGCGGCGACCUGGUCCUUGACUGACGCUGAGGAGCGAAAGCGUGGGGAGCAAACAGG